rnacentral:rRNA from 1 species
AGUGAACGCUGGCGGUAGGCCUAACACAUGCAAGUCGAACGGCAGCACAGGAGAGCUUGCUCUCUGGGUGGCGAGUGGCGGACGGGUGAGGAAUACAUCGGAAUCUACUCUGUCGUGGGGGAUAACGUAGGGAAACUUACGCUAAUACCGCAUACGACCUACGGGUGAAAGCAGGGGACCUUCGGGCCUUGCGCGAUUGAAUGAGCCGAUGUCGGAUUAGCUAGUUGGCGGGGUAAAGGCCCACCAAGGCGACGAUCCGUAGCUGGUCUGAGAGGAUGAUCAGCCACACUGGAACUGAGACACGGUCCAGACUCCUACGGGAGUCAGCAGUGGGGAAUAUUGGACAAUGUGCGCAAGCCUGAUCCAGCCAUACCGCGUGGGUGAAGAAGGCCUUCGGGUUGUAAAGCCCUUUUGUUGGGAAAGAAAUCCAGCUGGCUAAUACCCGGUUGGGAUGACGGUACCCAAAGAAUAAGCACCGGCUAACUUCGUGCCAGCCGCCGCAGUAA